ACACGACUACAUUAGAUACCCGCGGUAGUCCUAGCCGUAAACGAUACUCGCUAGGUGUCGGCCACGGUGCGACCGUUGUCGGUGCCGUAGGGAAGCCGUGAAGCGAGCCACCUGGGAAGUACGGCCGCAAGGCUGAAACUUAAAGGAAUUGGCGGGGGAGCACCACAACGGGUGGAGCUUGCGGUUUAAUUGGACUCAACGCCGGGAAGCUCACCGGAUAAGACAGCGGAAUGAUUGCCGGGCUGAAGACCCUGCAUGACCAGCUG
rnacentral:rRNA from 1 species